rnacentral:rRNA from 1 species
GUGGAGUAAACCUGCCCCUGAUUUCGGGAUAAGCCUGGGAAACUGGGUCUAAUACCGGAUACGACCACCUGACGCAUGUUGGGUGGUGGAAAGUUUUUCGAUCGGGGAUGGGCUCGCGGCCUAUCAGCUUGUUGGUGGGGUAAUGGCCUACCAAGGCGACGACGGGUAGCCGGCCUGAGAGGGCGACCGGCCACACUGGGACUGAGACACGGCCCAGACUCCUACGGGAGGCAGCAGUGGGGAAUAUUGCACAAUGGGGGAAACCCUGAUGCAGCGACGCAGCGUGCGGGAUGACGGCCUUCGGGUUGUAAACCGCUUUCAGCAGGGAAGAAGCGAAAGUGACGGUACCUGCAGAAGAAGUACCGGCUAACUACGUGCCAGCAGCCGCGGUAAUACGUAGGGUACGAGCGUUGUCCGGAAUUAUUGGGCGUAAAGAGCUCGUAGGUGGUUGGUCACGUCUGCUGUGGAAACGCAACGCUUAACGUUGCGCGUGCAGUGGGUACGGGCUGACUAGAGUGCAGUAGGGGAGUCUGGAAUUCCUGGUGUAGCGGUGAAAUGCGCAGAUAUCAGGAGGAACACCGGUGGCGAAGGCGGGACUCUGGGCUGUAACUGACACUGAGGAGCGAAAGCAUGGGGAGCGAACAGGAUUAGAUACCCUGGUAGUCCAUGCCGUAAACGUUGGGCACUAGGUGUGGGGGACAUUCCACGUUCUCCGCGCCGUAGCUAACGCAUUAAGUGCCCCGCCUGGGGAGUACGGUCGCAAGGCUAAAACUCAAAGGAAUUGACGGGGGCGCGCAUA